rnacentral:rRNA from 1 species
AUUGAACGCUGGCGGCAGGCCUAACACAUGCAAGUCGAGCGGAUGAAGAGGGCUUGCUCUCUGAUUCAGCGGCGGACGGGUGAGUAAUGCCUAGGAAUCUGCCUGGUAGUGGGGGACAACGUUUCGAAAGGAACGCUAAUACCGCAUACGUCCUACGGGAGAAAGUGGGGGAUCUUCGGACCUCACGCUAUCAGAUGAGCCUAGGUACGAUUAGCUAGUUGGUGAGGUAAAGGCUCACCAAGGCGACGAUCGUUAACUGGUCUGAGAGGAUGAUCAGUCACACUGGAACUGAGACACGGUCCAGACUCCUACGGGAGGCAGCAGUGGGGAAUAUUGGACAAUGGGCGAAAGCCUGAUCCAGCCAUGCCGCGUGUGUGAAGAAGGUCUUCGGAUUGUAAAGCACUUUAAGUUGGGAGGAAGGGCAGUAAGUUAAUACCUUGCUGUUUUGACGUUACCGACAGAAUAAGCACCGGCUAACUUCGUGCCAGCCGCCGCAGUAAAAC